rnacentral:lncRNA from 1 species
UUUGAUUUACAAACUGAUAAUCAUCAUUAUAUAGGAAGUGGAUGAGUCUCAGUCACUCCAAUCAAAAAUUUAAGCAAAAUGGCUAAUGAGUCAAAUUUAAUGAGUCACUUUUUAAGUGUUCUGCAUCACAAUUCAAAUUCAGGCAACAAAACCACACCUAAGAAAGAAUGAACUAAUGAACUAAAAAUAAGUCAAAUUUAAUGAGUCACUUUAAGUGUUAUGUCAUACUACUUUGGUGUAAGAAGUGGAGUAAGCUUCUAUAGCAAUUGAAAAUCACAAUAUAAUAUCUUCCACUAAAAAUCACAACUCUAAACACAACACUAGAACAGUUGAAAAAAUAAUAAGUUUCUAAAUUAAAUCAAUUUGCAAUUGUAAGCAUAUACCUUAAUGACAGCAGUUUGAGUUGUGAGAGUGCGGCGACGAACGAGACUACCGACGGUUAAAUGCAUGGUUUAUUGGAUUAAGGUUCUUGGAGAGAAGAUGAUUUACGGGUUAUGGGUUAAGGUUCACAGUGGUUU